ACAACACAUUUGUGUCAUUGGUGACUUUUGUUUCGCACAGGUGAACGAGGCUUUUGGCGCUCAGUACCUGGCUGUUGCUAAGGCUCUCGGACUGGAUCCAGCAAAAACCAACGUUAACGGUGGAGCUAUUGCCAUUGGGCAUCCUCUUGGUGCCUCUGGAGCACGUAUCACUGCCCACCUGGUUCAUGAGCUCAGGCGACGAGGAGGCAAGUACGCCGUUGGUUCUGCCUGCAUCGGUGGAGGUCAAGGCAUCGCCAUCAUCCUGGAAAAGUACUGAACGAAGCAGCUGCCAGUUUCAGAGGAAUGCUGUAGAAGAAUGUCUUUUGCCACCGUCCACUCAAAUAUAAUAAAACACAGUUGACACAUGCUAAAAAUAAAUCAAACAAAA